UUGGAGGGCAAGUCUGGUGCCAGCAGCCGCGGUAAUUCCAGCUCCAAUAGCGUGUAUUAAAGUUGUUGCAGUUAAAAAGCUCGUAGUUGAAUUUCGGGAUCAAUGUUUCGGUCAUGCCCUUGGUAUGUACUGAUAUUAUUGGUUUCUCACCUCCUAAAGAACCGUAAUGCCAUUAAUUUGGUGUCACGGGGAAUUAGGACUGUUACCUUGAAAAAAUUAGAGUGUUUAAAGCAGGCUCACGCUUGAAUACAUUAGCAUGGAAUAAUGAAAUAGGACAUCCGAUUCUAUUUUGUUGGUUUCUAGGAUCGAUGUAAUGAUUAAUAGGGAUAGUUGGGGGCAUUAGUAUUCAAUUGUCAGAGGUGAAAUUCUUGGAUUUAUUGAAGACUAACUACUGCGAAAGCAUUUGCCAAGGAUGUUUUCAUUAAUCAAGAACGAAAGUUAGGGGAUCGAAGACGAUCAGAUACCGUCGUAGUCUUAACCAUAAACUAUGCCGACUAGGGAUCGGAUGAUGUUAAUUCUUUAAUGACUCAUUCGGCGCCUUACGGGAAAC
rnacentral:rRNA from 1 species